UACGGAGGAUGCGAGCGUUAUCCGGAUUUAUUGGGUUUAAAGGGUGCGUAGGCGGCACGCCAAGUCAGCGGUGAAAUUUUCGGGCUCAACCCGGACUGUGCCGUUGAAACUGGCGAGCUAGAGUGCACAAGAGGCAGGCGGAAUGCGUGGUGUAGCGGUGAAAUGCAUAGAUAUCACGCAGAACCCCGAUUGCGAAGGCAGCCUGCUAGGGUGCGACAGACGCUGAGGCACGAAAGCGUGGGUAUCGAACAGG
rnacentral:rRNA from 1 species